AGUGAACGCUGGCGGCGUGCUUGACACAUGCAAGUCGAACGAGAACGGAUUAUAGCUUGCUAUAAUUGUCAGCUAAGUGGCGCACGGGUGAGUAAUGUAUAGGUAAUAUGCCUCUUACUAAGGGAUAACAAAUGGAAACGUUUGCUAAUACCUUAUACUCCUUAUUAACAGAAGUUAAUAAGGGAAAGAUUUAUUGGUAAGAGAUUAGCCUGUAUUGUAUCAGUUAGUUGGUGGGGUAAUGGCUUACCAAGACUAUGACACAUAACUGGUUUGAGAGGAUGAUCAGUCACACUGGAACUGAGACACGGUCCAGACUCCUACGGGAGGCUGCAGUGGGGAAUAUUGCACAAUGGACGAAAGUCUGAUGCAGCAACGCCGCGUGGAGGAUGACACAUUUCGGUGCGUAGACUCCUUUUAUAUGAGAAGAUAAUGACGGUAUUAUAUGAAUAAGCACCGGCUAACUCCGUGCCAGCCGCCGCGGUAAUAC
rnacentral:rRNA from 1 species